AAAGUCGUAACAAGGUUUCCGUAGGUGAACCUGCGGAAGGAUCAUUAACACGUUUAACAAACGUAUAACCAACCGUGAACUGUAUUAACCCUUUCCCAUAUUGAUUUAAAGUGGAUGAAGUGAGCAUAUGGUGAGCACUCCUGGUGUACCUGCCUUGAGUCCUCUUGCUUUGUCUAGUACUCUCGAAGUACAACGCUUGAAUUGGUAUGGCUACUAACCUAGUCACCAUUGGGUUGCUUUUCUCUCCGCAAGGAUUGAGAGAGGCAAUCCUCAAUAUAAAUUUUAACCCCUAACCUUAUCGGUCUGCUAGCCAGACCAUUAAUUAUUCUGAUAUACAGAUGACUGAAAGGUCAUUUUGUUUGUUAUAUUAACAAAAGUACAACUCUUAGCAAUGGAUAUCUUGGUUCUC
rnacentral:misc_RNA from 1 species